GGGUUGUGAGGUUAAGCGACUAAGCGUACACGGUGGAUGCCCUGGCAGUCAGAGGCGAUGAAGGACGUGCUAAUCUGCGAUAAGCGUCGGUAAGGUGAUAUGAACCGUUAUAACCGGCGAUUUCCGAAUGGGGAAACCCAGUGUGAUUCGUCACACUAUCAUUAACUGAAUCCAUAGGUUAAUGAGGCGAACCGGGGGAACUGAAACAUCUAAGUACCCCGAGGAAAAGAAAUCAACCGAGAUUCCCCCAGUAGCGGCGAGCGAACGGGGAGCAGCCCAGAGCCUGAAUCAGUGUGUGUGUUAGUGGAAGCGUCUGGAAAGGCGCGCGAUACAGGGUGACAGCCCCGUACACAAAAAUGCACAUGCUGUGAGCUCGAUGAGUAGGGCGGGACACGUGGUAUCCUGUCUGAAUAUGGGGGGACCAUCCUCCAAGGCUAAAUACUCCUGACUGACCGAUAGUGAACCAGUACCGUGAGGGAAAGGCGAAAAGAACCCCGGCGAGGGGAGUGAAAAAGAACCUGAAACCGUGUACGUACAAGCAGUGGGAGCACGCUUAGGCGUGUGACUGCGUACCUUUUGUAUAAUGGGUCAGCGACUUAUAUUCUGUAGCAAGGUUAACCGAAUAGGGGAGCCGAAGGGAAACCGAGUCUUAACUGGGCGUUAAGUUGCAGGGUAUAGACCCGAAACCCGGUGAUCUAGCCAUGGGCAGGUUGAAGGUUGGGUAACACUAACUGGAGGACCGAACCGACUAAUGUUGAAAAAUUAGCGGAUGACUUGUGGCUGGGGGUGAAAGGCCAAUCAAACCGGGAGAUAGCUGGUUCUCCCCGAAAGCUAUUUAGGUAGCGCCUCGUGAAUUCAUCUCCGGGGGUAGAGCACUGUUUCGGCAAGGGGGUCAUCCCGACUUACCAACCCGAUGCAAACUGCGAAUACCGGAGAAUGUUAUCACGGGAGACACACGGCGGGUGCUAACGUCCGUCGUGAAGAGGGAAACAACCCAGACCGCCAGCUAAGGUCCCAAAGUCAUGGUUAAGUGGGAAACGAUGUGGGAAGGCCCAGACAGCCAGGAUGUUGGCUUAGAAGCAGCCAUCAUUUAAAGAAAGCGUAAUAGCUCACUGGUCGAGUCGGCCUGCGCGGAAGAUGUAACGGGGCUAAACCAUGCACCGAAGCUGCGGCAGCGACGCUUAUGCGUUGUUGGGUAGGGGAGCGUUCUGUAAGCCUGUGAAGGUGUACUGUGAGGUAUGCUGGAGGUAUCAGAAGUGCGAAUGCUGACAUAAGUAACGAUAAAGCGGGUGAAAAGCCCGCUCGCCGGAAGACCAAGGGUUCCUGUCCAACGUUAAUCGGGGCAGGGUGAGUCGACCCCUAAGGCGAGGCCGAAAGGCGUAGUCGAUGGGAAACAGGUUAAUAUUCCUGUACUUGGUGUUACUGCGAAGGGGGGACGGAGAAGGCUAUGUUGGCCGGGCGACGGUUGUCCCGGUUUAAGCGUGUAGGCUGGUUUUCCAGGCAAAUCCGGAAAAUCAAGGCCGAGGCGUGAUGACGAGGCACUACGGUGCUGAAGCAACAAAUGCCCUGCUUCCAGGAAAAGCCUCUAAGCAUCAGGUAACAUCAAAUCGUACCCCAAACCGACACAGGUGGUCAGGUAGAGAAUACCAAGGCGCUUGAGAGAACUCGGGUGAAGGAACUAGGCAAAAUGGUGCCGUAACUUCGGGAGAAGGCACGCUGAUACGUAGGUGAAGCGACUUGCUCGUGGAGCUGAAAUCAGUCGAAGAUACCAGCUGGCUGCAACUGUUUAUUAAAAACACAGCACUGUGCAAACACGAAAGUGGACGUAUACGGUGUGACGCCUGCCCGGUGCCGGAAGGUUAAUUGAUGGGGUUAGCGCAAGCGAAGCUCUUGAUCGAAGCCCCGGUAAACGGCGGCCGUAACUAUAACGGUCCUAAGGUAGCGAAAUUCCUUGUCGGGUAAGUUCCGACCUGCACGAAUGGCGUAAUGAUGGCCAGGCUGUCUCCACCCGAGACUCAGUGAAAUUGAACUCGCUGUGAAGAUGCAGUGUACCCGCGGCAAGACGGAAAGACCCCGUGAACCUUUACUAUAGCUUGACACUGAACAUUGAGCCUUGAUGUGUAGGAUAGGUGGGAGGCUUUGAAGUGUGGACGCCAGUCUGCAUGGAGCCGACCUUGAAAUACCACCCUUUAAUGUUUGAUGUUCUAACGUGGACCCGUGAUCCGGGUUGCGGACAGUGUCUGGUGGGUAGUUUGACUGGGGCGGUCUCCUCCUAAAGAGUAACGGAGGAGCACGAAGGUUGGCUAAUCCUGGUCGGACAUCAGGAGGUUAGUGCAAUGGCAUAAGCCAGCUUGACUGCGAGCGUGACGGCGCGAGCAGGUGCGAAAGCAGGUCAUAGUGAUCCGGUGGUUCUGAAUGGAAGGGCCAUCGCUCAACGGAUAAAAGGUACUCCGGGGAUAACAGGCUGAUACCGCCCAAGAGUUCAUAUCGACGGCGGUGUUUGGCACCUCGAUGUCGGCUCAUCACAUCCUGGGGCUGAAGUAGGUCCCAAGGGUAUGGCUGUUCGCCAUUUAAAGUGGUACGCGAGCUGGGUUUAGAACGUCGUGAGACAGUUCGGUCCCUAUCUGCCGUGGGCGCUGGAGAACUGAGGGGGGCUGCUCCUAGUACGAGAGGACCGGAGUGGACGCAUCACUGGUGUUCGGGUUGUCAUGCCAAUGGCACUGCCCGGUAGCUAAAUGCGGAAGAGAUAAGUGCUGAAAGCAUCUAAGCACGAAACUUGCCCCGAGAUGAGUUCUCCCUGACCCUUUAAGGGUCCUGAAGGAACGUUGAAGACGACGACGUUGAUAGGCCGGGUGUGUAAGCGCAGCGAUGCGUUGAGCUAACCGGUACUAAUGAACCGUGAGG
rnacentral:rRNA from 1 species